GACGAACGCUGGCGGCGUGCUUAACACAUGCAAGUCGAACGGAAAGGCCCCUUUGGGGGUCCUCGAGUGGCGAACGGGUGGGUAACACGUGAGUAACCUGCCCUUGACUUCGGGAUAACUUCAGGAAACUGGGGCUAAUACCGGAUAGGAAUCCUUGCUGCAUGGUGGGGGUUGGAAAGCUUCGGCGGUUUUGGAUGGACUCGCGGCUUAUCAGCUUGUUGGUGGGGUAGUUGCUUACCAAGGCUUUGACGGGUAGCCGGCCUGAGAGGGCGACCGGCCACAUUGGGACUGAGAUACGGCCCAGACUCCUACGGGAGGCAGCAGUGGGGAAUAUUGCACAAGGGGCGGAAGCCUGAUGCAGCAACGCCGCGGGCGGGAGGACGGCCUUCGGGUUGGAAACCGCUUUCAGCAGGGGCGAAGCUUGUGGUGACGGUACCUGCAGAAGAAGCACCGGCUAACUACGUG
rnacentral:rRNA from 1 species